UACGAAGGGGGCUAGCGUUGCUCGGAUUGACUGGGCGUAAAGGGCGCGUAGGCGGUUCGUACAGUCAGACGUGAAAUUCCUGGGCUCAACCUGGGGGCUGCGUUUGAUACGUGCGGACUUGAGUGCGGAAGAGGGUCGUGGAAUUCCCAGUGUAGAGGUGAAAUUCGUAGAUAUUGGGAAGAACACCGGUGGCGAAGGCGGCGAUCUGGACAGAUAUUGACGCUGAGGUGCGAAAGCGUGGGGAGCAAACAGG
rnacentral:rRNA from 1 species